GAAAACAUGAAUCAAGAUAUGCAUCGCUAGUGAACUCAUUUGGCUAAUGACAGGUUAUGAGACAAAGAUGGUCCCUUUUAAGUGGUUCAGACUUUAAUAGCAGGGGACUUUCAAUGAAAAAGGACUGAGCUUUAGAAGAAUGCUAAAGGUAAGUGCCAACCUAUGCAUACAAGAAUAGCACCCCAUCUACCCAAUGACAUAAACCGUGAAUAACAAGUAGAUAGUCCUAUCUCUAAACCCAAUGAUGAUCAUAAGUCUACUCUUUUGCACUAAAGGCAUAUUUUGAUUUUUUCUUGGAUCAAUGUUUCCUUUUCUUUUCUUUGGCUCUUGUUCUUAAGGAGAAGCUUUUCUUAAAGUCUAUGAGUCUAAUCUAGUGAAUUGGUUUUACUUAAACUCUAAUGGCUCUUAUGAUUUUUGUUUUUUUCUCUUUUCCUUUCUGUUUUUAUUGCCAUUUUUUCUAGAGUAUAUCUUAUCAAUUCUAUGCUUGCCAAACAUUCACUAGACCUCGAUAUGAUUCUCAGCUUCCUUCUCCUAAAGAUUCUAACCAGUUUUCGUUUUUUUUUCUUUUCACACUCAAUCUCAAUCUGCAAAUAAGUUCCCACCUACUCCUACCAAGUCCGAAAACGCGGAUUGGAACUACAUGAGAUACUACUCUUGUCGGCUCAAACAUAACAUGUUCUACCAAGCUCAAUCCUGAAAAUAGGCCUUAC
rnacentral:sRNA from 1 species